rnacentral:rRNA from 1 species
GUAGGGAAUAUUAGAAAUGGACGAAAGUCUGAUCUAGCAACACCGCGUGUGCGAAGAAGGCCUUCGGGUUGUAAAGCACUUUUUGGAAGGAUUAGGAAGGAAUGUACUUCCAGAAUAAGUCUCGGCUAACUACGUGCCAGCAGCCGCGGUGACACGUAGGAGGCAAACGUUAUCCGGAUUUACUGGGCGUAAAGCGCGUGUAGGUGGUUCUGUAAGUAGGGCGUGAAAGCUCCUGGCUCAACUGGGAGAGGCCGUUCUAAACUGCAGAGCUAGAGGAUGGUAGAGGGAGGUGGAAUUCCGGGUGUAGCGGUGGAAUGCGCAGAUAUCCGGAGGAACACCAGUGGCGAAAGCGGCCUCCUGGACCAUUCCUGACACUCAGACGCGAAAGCUAGGGUAGCAAACGGGAUUAGAAACCCUGGUAGUCC